UCCUGCAGCUGUGUUUUACUGGGUUCCUGUGGUGGGGGUGGGGGCUGUCCUGACUGCUGGAGCUCUUCUUGUCACCAUCUACUGCUAUAUGAAGAGGAGAUCCACAGGAGGAAGUGAUGCCACAGCAGACACACUGAGUGUCCAUCCUGAUCCUAACAGUGAGACGUACACAGCUCUGAACAUGAAGACCAGGUCACCAGAGUACGACACCCUGGCGAAUGUGAGGGACUUCGCAGUGACACAGCCCCUCAAAUAGGCACUUAGCCCACCGAUUAUGACAACUGAAGAGAACCACCACAGAACCUGGACUGAAGAGAACCACCACAGAACCUGGACUGAAGAGAACCACCACAGAACCUGGACUGAAGAGCAACAGCAUCAAACCAAAGCUCGGCCUCAUAAUGCUAUUCUCUUACUAUCAUUUUGCUUUCUAAUCUAUUAGGUUUUCCAGACAAUGACCUUUAACUUGAGUGAAUGCUGGAAUUUAGAUUGUUCUCCUGAUGAUCAAUACAGUAUGUAUAUAGAUGAUAAAUGGAAUAGAUUAUGCUUCUACUCUUUUUCUAUAAGAUUUUGCCAUUUCCAGAUUUUAUUACAUUUCACAUCGAAAUAUGUUGAACUAUUCAUUAGCUCUGCUCCUUCAGGGUAGCAGUAAACUAUACCACUCCCCCAGCAGGUGAGCAGACCUGGUCAUCCUAAAUAGACUGCCAAAUAAGGUAGGCGUAUAUCACGCCUUGACCUUAGUUAUCUUUGUUUUCUUUAUUAUUUUGGUUAGGUCAGGGUGUGACAAGGGUGGUUUAGUUUUUGUAUGUCUUGGGGUUUUUCUAGUCUCGGAGUUUAUGUCUAUCGUUGCCUAGAUUGGUUCUCAAUCAGAGGCAGCUGUUUAUUGUUGAUUGGGGACCAUAUUUAGGUAGCCAUAAUCCUUGGGUAUUUUGUGAGUUGUAAUUCUAUGUUUAGUUGCCUGUUCUGCACUAGCCAUAUAGCUUUACGGUUUGUUUU